GACGAACGCUGGCGGCGUGCUUAACACAUGCAAGUCGAACGAAGUGGCGAACGGGUGAGUAACGCGUAAUCAACCUGCCCUUCAGAGGGGGACAACAGUUGGAAACGACUGCUAAUACCGCAUACUGCAGGAGGGGAUUGCGUCUGAUUAGCUAGUUGGAGGGGUAACGGCCAACCUAGGCGACGAUCCCUAGCUGGUCUGAGAGGAGGAGCAGCCACACUGGGACUGAGACACGGCCCAGACUCCUACGGGAGGAAGCAGUGGGGAAUAUUGCACAAUGGGCGCAAGCCUGAUGCAGCCAUGCCGCGUGUAUGAAGAAGGCCCUAGGGUUGUAAAGCUCUGUUAAUCGGGACGCGGUACCGGAAUAGAAAGCCACGGCUAACUACGUGCCAGCAGCCGCGGUAAUUC
rnacentral:rRNA from 1 species